rnacentral:rRNA from 1 species
AAAGCGUGCGCAGGCGGUUAUAUAAGACAGAUGUGAAAUCCCCGGGCUCAACCUGGGAAUGGCGAUGGUGACUGCAAGGCUAGAGUUUGGCAGAGGGGGGUAGAAUUCCACGUGUAGCAGUGAAAUGCGUAGAUAUGUGGAGGAACACCGAUGGCGAAGGCAGCCCCCUGGGUCAAAACUGACGCUCAUGCACGAAAGCGUGGGGAGCAAACAGGAUUAGAUACCCCUGU